GGUGUGAAAAACUCUGGUGGUAUACGAUGGUUCCGCGUCUGAUUAGCUAGUUGGUGGGGUAAUGGCCUACCAAGGCAACGAUCAGUAGCCGGCCUGAGAGGGUGAACGGCCACAUUGGGACUGAGACACGGCCCAAACUCCUACGGGAGGCAGCAG
rnacentral:rRNA from 1 species